CGGCGGCGGCGGUGGGAGCGGCCGAAGCUUCGGGGAAGAGGCUGUUUCCUGGAGGGGGCGCACACUCCCCUGAGAUCGCCCUUUACCGACCUGAAGCCUUUUCUCUUCUUGCCUUUCAGCCCGGGAAGUGGGGUACCUCUCUAUCCUACCCCAAGGGGAUGCCCGUGGCCUGAGAAGCCCCCAGCCCAUAGCUCCGAGUAGUCCUCACCUUGCCCAUUUCUAACCCCACGGAGCCCCUAAUCCCAAGGAACCCCGGACCCCUUUCUGCAAGAAGUUCCUUCCUUUCAUCCAUCCCCAGGAGUUGCCCGUUUAAGCUCUUUCUGAGCCUCCUUCGCCCCUAAGGCCAUGUCCCAGGUCCGCCUCUCACUCCGUAACCCGAGGAGUCCCCUAACCGCUACCCUGGGGGCCCAGCCCCCCCUCUCCAACUGCUUCCUCUGCAGGCCUCACCAUCGCCUCCUGAAUAGUUUUACGCUCCUUGAGACCCUCAUUUUCGUGGGGCGGGAGACCCUCCCUCCUUGGGUCACCCGGUCCACCAGACUCUAUUCCUUUGAGCGGCGUGGAGGAAGAGGGAGAAGGUGGCAGCAAAUGCCUACAAAAGGGUUUAUCAAGAUUCGACAACCACAGCAGGUGCAGUCAUUCCAGAUAGCCCGUCGAGAUCUCCUAUAUCUCUUCCACGCCAUGCGCAAAUAUCAUGACAAGCCCUGGCUCCUGCACCAUGUCAUCAC